ensembl:lncRNA
CCCAGUUCUGGAACCAGUAGAAGCUCUCCUCCCUCCCCCAGCUAAUCUGUUCUGGCAGCUUGAAGCUGGCAUGCCCUGGGCCAUAUCACCCAGAAGCAAGCUCCGGGUGCCUGAGGUCAGAAUACCCUGCUUGGUGACUUGGACACACCCCUUAGCAGCUGAUGCUUCUAGACAGAUCCCACCCUGUCCCUGGCUCUGCAAAAUGACAGCAGUCCCCUGAGCGCGCUGCUAGCUCCCAGGUUUGCUGUGAGGUCGGAACAGAAGUGUUUGCCAACACUUAAACAGUGCUGACCUCGGGCCAGGAGCCGUCUCAUGCAUGCAAACCGUUCAGAUCCUCAUGACUCAGGGGAGAAGGUGGUAUGCCCUGAUGUGCUUCUACUCAGGAAGGUGAGGUGUGAAGUUGUUGGUUUGUAGACUACUCGGGUGAGAAUGGGGCGCUGGCAUUCGAACCACAGUGAUCUGGCCCCUGGAAUGGCCUCUGAAGAUAUACUUGCACCUCCUUAUAGUAAAGCCCAUUGGAAACACAUCACGAAGGGGUAUUUGAGUCCAGACUCCCCUCCUCUCCACCUCUCGCACCAUACCUCUCGUACCCACAGGAGAAGGAAGAGCUCUGGGAACUGGCACAGGGUUCUCCCAGAGCAGCAGAGCAGAGCUUGGGGGAGGGGGUUUAAUGUGUGGGAAGGGAGGAUGGGCUUCUUCCGGGCCCAGAAGUAGGAAGUAGGCUGACAGGCUGUGUAGUUCCUCUCAGUGGCUGAUUCCUUUAGAGCCUCUGCUCCUUCUGUACUCUGCGGUGCUACUCUCUGACUGGAGAAGGUGAGAACAGACCCAUCCCUGCCCCAAGCCCCCCUCCACUCAUCUUCUACUUCCUAGCCUGUUACAUAAUCUGCACUCCGUCCACACGUGGAAAUAAUCACGGCUCAGCAGAAUGGGCUCGGGGGCAUGAUGAAUGGUCUGUAGGAUCGUCAGCUGACGGCCAGCUGCUCCUGAAGUGACCUGAGGGACUGCCAUAGCUCAGGUUCCCAGCCCUUCCCGGGAAAGUGGCCCUGCCUGGUGUUCAGGAAAAGUCCUAACUCAGCUCCGUGUCGGGGCGUUUAUGGUGUGAGUGCCUGGAUCAUCGUCUUGCUUACAGUCUGCACACCCAAGGCUGCUGAGAGCCACCCUGAGUCCACCUGCAGCAUCCUAGAAGGCCAACAGCCUGGUCUGCCUCUACAGGAAGCCCUUUCUCGUCCUUGGAGAGGCUCAUCAGCACAUCUGGGCACUAGCCUCUUCUGGGUCUUCUGCCAAGGGUUUUCAGGUGAAGAGAAAGGGAGCCAAAGACACCGGGCAAAGGGAUCUGGAAAGACAUGGUAGGGGCAGAGGCCUGAGGCCCCAGGAUCCUGCAGCUGUUCCAACCUAUCCACUGUAGCCCACUGAGUCAUGGUGUUGUGACUCUGCCCCCCAUCCUCAGGUAUAAGUACCCACACACUCUGAUGCCCACUGGUGAGGGGAGAGCCAAACACAUGCUCUAGGGAUCAGGCACAAGCCUUUAUUCCUGAAAACCAACUGGUUUAAGGUGAGCUGGGUUUCAAUCAUCAUACGUAAUGAUUAUGGCGAGUAUGACCACCUUUCUCUGUAACUUUUAAUAUCUGUCAAGCCCGGUGAUGCAUGCUUGUAAUCCCAGUUACUCAUGGAGCUGAGGCAGGGGGAUUAGACAUUCAAGGCUUGCCUGGGCUACAGAGUGAGUUCUAUCCAGGGCUCCAGAACCUGUAUAUAGACUCUGUUUCAAAGUGAAAAAUAAAAAGACUGUGGCUAUCGCUUAACGGUAGAGAAAAAUAAAUAAACAACCAAAUAAGGCUGAGGGUGUACUCAGUGGGUAGAGCACAGGACCCCUCCCACCUCUGGUAUCUGCUCACCCCCAGAGCCUGCCCAGGCCCAGGUCCUGCCCAGUACUCCGCACCUUCCUUGGGAGUUCAUAGGUCCUGGAUUUUCUGAGUACAGCUCAAGGCCCAGAGGACACGGGCCCCAAAGGUAAGCCAGGUUCCCUAAAAGGAAACACCACACUGCCUUCACGGGGAAGGACUUGGUCUCCUCUGCCUGCAUGACUCCAGGCACUCCCCUGUGGGGCCUGUCAGCAGUAACCAGAGCUGGCUCAGUGACUGAGAGCAGUAGGAACAUCGUUUCUUGGCAACCGUGGACAGCACACAAGAUCCAGCUAAUCACCGGUACCAGCAGAUAUCCCAGGACUCCUGAGUUGGCUGUUUCCUUCUUCGUGGCAUCUUCUCACUGGGGUUUGACCUGAGCAUUCUGGGAAGCGUGGUUCAGCUUUUUGAACCUCGCUAUCUCUCUUUUCUUUCUCCCUUCCUGCUUCCAAGUGGUUGUAUUUUUGGUUAUUGUUUAAACAAACAAACAGAACCCAAACGAACAAAUCCAAACCGUAAACGUCUACUUAUUUUACGUGUGUGAAUUUUUGCUUGUGUGUGUGUGUGUGUGUGUAUGUGUGUGUGUGUAUGUAUGUAUGUAUGUAUGUAUGUAUGUAUGUAUGUAUGUAUGUGCACCAUGUGCAACCCGGGUUAACUGAGGUUAACUCCUGGACUGGAGUUAAAGACCAUUGUGAGGACCCAAACCCGAGUCCUCUUAGAGCUGCUGGAGCCCUGGACAGCUGAACUAGUUUCCCAGCCCUUCUGUUUUGCUUUACGCCGGGCAGGAUUUCUUGUAGCUCAGGCUGGCCAACUCCCAAGUUAACCACGCCUAGCAGUUAACUUCAUUUUUGCACCAUUGCUUG